ACUACGGGAGGCAGCAGUGGGGAAUAUUGCGCAAUGGGCGAAAGCCUGACGCAGCGACGCCGCGUGAGGGAUGAAGGUCUUCGGAUCGUAAACCUCUGUCAGCAGGGAAGAACGGUCACUGUGCUAAUCAGCAGUGAAUUGACGGUACCUGCAAAGGAAGCACCGGCUAACUCCGUGCCAGCAGCCGCGGUAAUACGGGGGGUGCGAUCGUUAAUCGGAAUUACUGGGCGUAAAGCUCUCGUAGGCGGUAUGUCAAGUCAAGGGUGAAAUCCCCGGGCCCAACGUGGGAAUUGCCUGUGAAACUGGCAAACUGGAGUGUGUGAGAGGAUAGUGGAAGUCCAGGUGUAGGAGUGAAAUCCGUAGAUAUCUGGAGGAACAUCAGUGGCGAAGGCGACUAUCUGGCACAUAACUGACGCUGAGGAGCGAAAGCGUGGGUAGCAAACAGGAUUAGAUACCCUAGUAGUC
rnacentral:rRNA from 1 species